AUCCAGGCAAAUCCGGAUCUUUUUAAGCCGAGACCCCACAGGCGUUUGAAGUUCUUCGGAAUGGAUAGCGAAUUGCUGAUACUGUCGAGCCAAGAAAAGUUUCUAAGUUUAGUUAUAGUUGCCCGUACCGUAAACCGACACAGGUGGGUGGGAUGAGUAUUCUAAGGCGCGUGGAAGAACUCUCUUCAAGGAACUCUGCAAAAUAGCACCGUAUCUUCGGUAUAAGGUGUGCCUAACUUUGUGAAGGAUUUACUCCGUAAGCAUUGAAGGUUACAACAAAGAGUCCCUCCCGACUGUUUACCAAAAACACAGCACUCUGCUAACUCGUAAGAGGAUGUAUAGGGUGUGACGCCUGCCCGGUGCUCGAAGGUUAAUUGAUGACGUUAGCUCUGCGAAGCGUUUGAUCGAAGCCCGAGUAAACGGCGGCCGUAACUAUAACGGUCCUAAGGUAGCGAAAUUCCUUGUCGAUUAAAUAUCGACCUGCAUGAAUGGCGUAACGAGAUGGGAGCUGUCUCGAAGAGGGAUCCAGUGAAAUUGUAGUGGAGGUGAAAAUUCCUCCUACCCGCGGCAAGACGGAAAGACCCCGUGGACCUUUACUACAGCUUGACACUGCUAUUGGGAUAAAAAUGUGCAGGAUAGGUGGGAGGCUUUGAUCCAUAGACGCCAGUUUAUGGUGAGCCGUUGUUGAGAUACCACUCUUUUUUAUUCUGAUAGCUAACUAGCUUGAGUUAUCCUCAAGUAGGACAAUGUCUGGUGGGUAGUUUGACUGGGGCGGUCGCCUCCCAAAAUGUAACGGAGGCUUACAAAGGUUGGCUCAAAGCGGUUGGAAAUCGCUUGCAGAGUAUAAAGGCAAAAGCCAGCUUAACUGCGAGACAUACACGUCGAGCAGAGACGAAAGUCGGUCUUAGUGAUCCGGUGGUUCUGUAUGGAAGGGCCAUCGCUCAAAGGAUAAAAGGUACCCCGGGGAUAACAGGCUGAUCUCCCCCAAGAGCUCACAUCGACGGGGAGGUUUGGCACCUCGAUGUCGGCUCAUCGCAUCCUGGGGCU
rnacentral:rRNA from 1 species